GACGUAGGGCGCGAGCGUUGUCCGGAUUUAUUGGGCGUAAAGAGCUCGUAGGCGGCUUGUCGCGUCGUCCGUGAAAACCCACGGCUUAACUGUGGGCUUGCGGUCGAUACGGGCAGGCUAGAGUUCGGUAGGGGAGACUGGAAUUCUGGUGUAGCGGUGAAAUGCGCAGAUAUCAGGAGGAACACCGGUGGCGAAGGCGGGUCUCUGGGCCGAUACUGACGCUGAGGAGCGAAAGCGUGGGGAGCGAACAGG
rnacentral:rRNA from 1 species